rnacentral:lncRNA from 1 species
UGAAUAAACUUUCUACCCUUAUCUCUUUCUCUACCUCCUCUUUAAGGCCAAUAGCUCUUAGAUUGGCCAUUUUCAAGAUCAUGUAGGUGUGCUUCAUUGUUUUUUAUUCUUUUUUUCUUUUGUCUCCUCUGACUGUGUAUUUUCAAUUAGCCUGUCUUUAGGCUCACUAAUUCUUUAUUCUGCUUGAUUAAUUCUGCUAUUAAAGGACUCUGGUGCAUUCUUCAGUAUGCCAAUUUUAUUUUUCAGCUCCAGAAUUUCUGCUUGAUUCAUUAUAAUUAUUUCAAUGUCUUUGUUACAUUUACCUGAUAGAAUUCUGAAUUUCUUCUCGGUGUUAUCUUGAAUUUCUCUGAGUUUCCUCAACACAGCUAUUUUGAAUUCUCUGUCUGAAAGGUCACAUAUCUCUGUUUCUCUCAGAUUGGUCCUUAGUGUCUUAUUUAGUUCAUUUGGUGAUGCCAUGUUUUCCUGUAUGUUGUUGAUGCUAGUAGAUGUUCUUCAGUAUUUGGGCAUUGAAGGCUUAGGUAUUUAUUGGUGUCCUCACUGCCUGGACUUAUUUGUAGUAGUCCUUAUUGGGAAGGCUUUCCAGAUAUUUGAAAGGACUUGGGUGUUGUGAUCUAAGCUCUAUCUGCUUUAGAGAGCACCCCAAGUGCAGUAACACUGUGAUUCUUGCAGAUUUGUAGAGGUACCACCUUGAUGGUCUUGGACAAGAUCUGGGAGAUUUCUCUGGAUUACCAGGCACAGAUUGUUGUUCUCUUCCCUUACUCUCUCUGGAACAAACAGUCGUCUCUCUGUUCUAAGCCACUUAAAGCUGGGGGUAGAAUGACACAAGCACCCUUGUGGCCACCACCACUAUGAUUGUGCUGGGUCAGAACUGAAGCCAGCACAAUGCUGGGUCUUGCACAGGGCCUGCUGUAACCACUCCCUUCAUACUAUGUAUGUUUGCUUAAGGCCCUGGGGCUCUACAGUCAGUAGGUGGCAAAGCCAGCUAGGACUGUGUCUUUUCCUUCAGGGUGGCAAGGACCCCCAGGACCUAGGUGUUGUCCAGGAGCCAGGGAGUAGAGUCAAAAAUCUUAGAAGUCUACCUGGUGUUCUAUUGUACUAUGGCUGAGCUAGCACACAAAAAAACAUAAGAUGCAGUCCUUCCCACUCUUCCCUCUCCUUUCCUAAGGCAGAAGAGCCUCUCCCUCUAGCCACUGCCACCCGAGGCUGUG